AUAAAUCUAAAUUAGUUUAUUAAUUAAUUUUAAUUAGUAAUUAAUUAUUUUAAUUAGUCAAUUAAUUUAAAUAUUAAUUGAUUAAUUAUUUUAAUUAAUUAUUAAUUGAUUUUAAUUGAUUAAUUAAUUGGAUUUAAUUAAUCCUUUUUGAUUUAAAAAUUCCGAAAAAUAGUUUCGAGCUUUAAAAUAUUUUUCCAAAUUAUUUUCAAGGCUCGAUAAUUGUUUAUGAAUGAUUUCAAGUCCAAUUUCAAGUAUUUGGGACUUGAUUAUUUAUUUGAAAAGUGAUUCUUUUAUCGAUUUUAAUUCCGAAAAAUGUUUAAAAAUUCUGGAAAAUUCCCGAAAAAUCAUUUUUAACCCAAGACUUGAUUUAAGAUCAAUUGGGAUGGGAAACCUUAUGUGUUGUGUGUUGUCUGCUAUUGGUUGGAUGUGUUAUGUGCCGAUAGGAGAGUGAGAAAACUGUUUUGAGCAUAACUUUUGAUCAGUAAGUCGGAAUCAAGUAAAAUGAAAGAGAG
rnacentral:lncRNA from 1 species